UGAAAAGCUGGGAAUAACCACUUAGAAGACACAAACUCCAGAAAAAUGGGUUCAGUCCUCCAAAAUUAAAAGUUACCUUCCUGCUUAUAUUGGCAGAAAACAAAGAAGCUUGAUAGGAUUAUAGCAUUUUCUAUACAGGGCUUGUUGGUGAUUUACAACAAUUUAAUUCAUUACAGUUUGUUUUCUUUUCCACAGGGCUUGUUUUCAUUUUCUUUCCAAUUUAAAAGAAUGUAUUCAACAUUCCAUCUUUAGAAAAUGUGAUAACCAUCAAGUCUUUGCAUGAGAAAGGUAAGAGGGAAGUUAAUCUAUAAUGAAGAUCAACUGUGAAGAGGGAUGGGGUCUUCCCUGCCUCCCUUUAGUCAUUUACAACAUUUAAAAAAACAAUGCAGGUAAGGAAGAAGUCUAAUCUAUAAUGAGAGAAACAACAGUUACACCUGCCCAGGUUACAGAUGCCUCUCACAUGACUCAGGCACUAUAGUCAUAUUUCUUUAAAACUCAAAAUAGUUUGGAGUCCCCACAGCCUAGAUUUUAUUUUCACAUCUGCAAGUCAUUGAGAACUACUCCUGUCUCCUUGUCCCUCCCUAUACCAUUUCCUCCCCCUUCUCUGAGUUCUUUUUCCCAGUCUCCUUUGCUGGGCACCUCACAACCCCCACUCAUCCUUACAUGCUGAAGUCAUCCAGGAUUUGCUUCCAGAUUCCUUGCUUCUAUUUCUGAACCCACCUGUUCCUUUUAACCAUUUGCCUGGUUUAAUUCCCAUUGCCUUUCCCCUUGAAUGUAAAAAUUGAAGUAUGACUUACUUGCCUUAAAGUGCACACUUCUUAAAUAUAUAUGUGAUGAAUUUUUACUUAUAUGUACACCUAUGUAGCUGCCAGUUAAACCAAGGUUAGAGAAUUUCCAGCUUCCAGAAAUGCUCCUGCAUGACCAUCUCAGCCAGUACCCCACAACGAAGCCUCGAGUCUGACCUCCACCAUCAUAGGUAGACUUGCUGGCUUGGAAACCUGACAUCUGUGCUUUGAAGUCUAGGAGGAUGAAAAAGUCUUGAAGCCAGGACAAGAUGGCCCGCAAAGGGAUCAGGUUUUAUUCUGACCAAAAUAAAGACUUUUUAAAGACUUUUGAAGCCUUGUUUAUGCUAUCAGGGCUCCAAUUUAAAAGAUGUCACUGUCAGUAGAUGUCUUCUGAUUUUGAGAAGCACAUGUGAUGAGUUCUGGGUCACUCACCUUCCCACGGUGUCCUCGGUGUUCCUAGCCUCAUUGUUGCUCUCAGCCAGCCUCAACCAAAACCACUUCCUCUGGAAGCCUGUCCCUUCCCCCACUCCCAUUUGCGAGUCUUCCCAGAUGCCCUUUUCUAGUGCUUCAACCACGGUCCCCCACCUGCCUCUCCCUCUACCUGCUCCCUUAACAGCUCCACCUUGCCCCUCCUCUUAAGGGUGAGGAGUAGCUACAGGUAGAGAAAUACUUAACGUCAUGCUUUUAUUUUUGGACUCCCCAGUAGACCUGAGUGCUUUAUUCAAGGAGGACAUCAGCAUUGAUUUUCCCUCUCAGCAAAGUGCUUUAAAGGUGAAAGUGCCUUUUCACAGAGCUGGGGCCACCUUGCAUCAUAGCCUUGGAGCCAUUUCUGUGUGGCAGAGAGAAGGCUACCCACUCCUUCCCCACUUCCCGUCUCCAUUGACAGCCUUCUCUUUGAAGCUGAUGUGUGCCUCUGACUUUCUGCAACCCUGAACUUUCAGCAUUGUGUUUUUCGGCUAGCCAUUCUACAGCUUGAUCAUCUGAAUGCAGAUAUGCAUAGAGGUUCUGCUCGUGACCAUGUGACCCACCUUUGUAUCCUGCAAGAACAAUGGGAUUGGUGUGGAGGAUGAGAGCUGGAGCUCUGGAGUCAAUAUGCCUAGAGGGAAUUGUGGAUUACUAUCAUGUAAUCUUCAGCAAGCUAAUUAAUGGCUCUGUGCCUUAGUUUCCUCCUCUGCAAAAUGAAGGUAGUAACGGAAGCUACUCAUGGGAUCAUUAAAAGAAUUCUAUGAGACAGUACUUAUUAUAAAUUUAAAGUGGUUUGUGACAUAUAGUAAAUGGUCAAAAAAUGUUAGCUAGUAGUCAAAAUAGAAGUAGGGUGAGAUUUAAUUACAUUUAUAAAAAUCACUCAAGCCUGCAAAUGCCCAGUGCACCUGAGGGAGUGACAGAAUCAUCAUUGUCCAAAUCUAGUUCCUACUUGUCCCAAGCAAGAAAAUGUCAGGGCAAACAGCUCCGUCCUUUCUUCCUCCAUCUGUGAGGUAGCAAUGUGAAUGCCUCUCUUCCUUUUUCUCUAGGUACCCAUAGUAGGAGAGACAAUGUAUUCUACACCAGGACUUCUAAAAUGUUCAUGUGCGUAGAACUCACUUGGAAAUCUU
rnacentral:lncRNA from 1 species